CAGUAGCCGCGGUAAUACGUAGGUGGCAAGCGUUGUCCGGAAUUAUUGAGCGUAAAGGGCUCGCAGGCGGUUUCUUAAGUCUGAUGUGAAAGCCCCCGGCUCAACCGGGGAGGGUCAUUGGAAACUGGGAAACUUGAGUGCAGAAGAGGAGAGUGGAAUUCCACGUGUAGCGGUGAAAUGCGUAGAGAUGUGGAGGAACACCAGUGGCGAAGGCGACUCUCUGGUCUGUAACUGACGCUGAGGAGCGAAAGCGUGGGGAGCGAACAGGAUUAGAUACCCCUGUAGUCCCUGUCUCUUAUAA
rnacentral:rRNA from 1 species